UACGGAGGGGGCUAGCGUUGUUCGGAAUUACUGGGCGUAAAGCGCACGUAGGCGGCUUGGCAAGUCAGAGGUGAAAGCCCGGGGCUCAACUCCGGAAUUGCCUUUGAAACUGCCUCGCUUGAUCACGGGAGAGGUGAGUGGAAUUCCGAGUGUAGAGGUGAAAUUCGUAGAUAUUCGGAAGAACACCAGUGGCGAAGGCGGCUCACUGGACCGUUGAUGACGCUGAGGUGCGAAAGCGUGGGGAGCAAACAGG
rnacentral:rRNA from 1 species